GAUGAACGCUAGCGGGAGGCUUAACACAUGCAAGUCGAGGGGCAGCAUAGGGUAGCAAUACUCUGAUGGCGACCGGCAAACGGGUGAGUAACGCGUAUGCAACCUACCCUGUACAGGGGGAUAACCCGGAGAAAUUCGGACUAAUAUCCCGUAAUAAUAUCCGGAGGCAUCUUUGGAUAUUUAAAGUUCCGACGGUACGGGAUGGGCAUGCGUAACAUUAGCUGGUUGGUAAGGUAACGGCUUACCAAGGCUAUGAUGUUUAGGGGUCCUGAGAGGGUGGUCCCCCAACUGGUACUGAGACACGGACCAGACUCCUACGGGAGGCAGCAGUGAGGAAUAUUGGUCAAUGGGCGCAAGCCUGAACCAGCCAUCCCGCGUGCAGGAAGACGGCCCUAUGGGUUGUAAACUGCUUUUCCAGGGAGAGAAACUUACGCACGUGUUGCGUGACUGACGGUACCCUGGGAAUAAGCAUCGGCUAACUCCGUGCCAGCAGCCGACGGUAAACUAGUCUACG
rnacentral:rRNA from 1 species